rnacentral:rRNA from 1 species
AUUGCCCUAGUAACGGCGAGUGAAGCGGCAACAGCUCAAAUUUGAAAUCUGGCCCUAGCGGUCCGAGUUGUAAUUUGUAGAGGAGGCUUUUGGUGAGGUGCCUUCCGAGUUCCCUGGAACGGGACGCCGGAGAGGGUGAGAGCCCCGUACGGUUGGACGCCAAACCUCUGUAUAGCUCCUUCGACGAGUCGAGUAGUUUGGGAAUGCUGCUCUAAAUGGGAGGUAAAUUUCUUCUAAAGCUAAAUACCGGCCAGAGACCGAUAGCGCACAAGUAGAGUGAUCGAAAGAUGAAAAGCACUUUGAAAAGAGGGUUAAAUAGCACGUGAAAUUGUUGAAAGGGAAGCGUUUGCGACCAGACUUUUUCCAGGCGGAUCAUCCGGCGUUCUCGCCGGUGCACUCCGCCUGGUUGAGGCCAGCAUCGGUUUCCUUAGGGGGAUAAAGGCCUGGGGAACGUAGCUCCUUCGGGAGUGUUAUAGCCCCUGGCGUAAUACCCCUCGGGGGACCGAGGAACGCGCUCUGCAAGGAUGCUGGCGUAAUGGUCGUCAACGACCCGUCUUGAAACACGGACCAAGGAGUCGAACAUUUGUGCGAGUGUUUGGGUGUCAAACCCUCACGCGUAAUGAAAGUGAACGGAGGUGAGAGCCCUUACGGGUGCAUCAUCGACCGAUCCUGAUGUCUUCGGAUGGAUUUGAGUAAGAGCAUAACUGUUCGGACCCGAAAGAUGGUGAACUAUGCGUGGAUAGGGUGAAGCCAGAGGAAACUCUGGUGGAGGCUCGCAGCGGUUCUGACGUGCAAAUCGAUCGUCAAAUCUGCGCAUGGGGGCGAAAGACUUAUCGAACCAUCUAGUAGCUGGUUACCGCCGAAGUUUCCCUCAGGAUAGCAGUGUUGUCUUCAGUUUUAUGAGGUAAAGCGAAUGAUUAGGGACUCGGGGGCGCUAUAUUGCCUUCAUCCAUUCUCAAACUUUAAAUAUGUAAGAAGCCCUUGUUACUUAGUUGAACGUGGGCAUUCGAAUGUACCAACACUAGUGGGCCAUUUUUGGUAAGCAGAACUGGCGAUGCGGGAUGAACCGAACGCGGGGUUAAGGUGCCAGAGUGGACGCUCAUCAGACACCACAAAAGGUGUUAGUACAUCUUGACAGCAGGACGGUGGCCAUGGAAGUCGGAAUCCGCUAAGGACUGUGUAACAACUCACCUGCCGAAUGUACUAGCCCUGAAAAUGGAUGGCGCUCAAGCGUCUCACCCAUACCUCGCCCUUAGGGUAGAAACGAUGCCCUAAGGNAGUAGGCGGCCGUGGGAAGGUUAGUGACGAAGCCUA